UCGGGAAUUUUGGGCAAUGGGCGAAAGCCUGACCCAGCAACGCCGCGUGAGGGAUGAAGUAUUUCGGUAUGUAAACCUCGAAAGAAUGGGAAGAAUAAAUGACGGUACCAUUUAUAAGCUCCGGCUAACUACGUGCCAGCAGCCGCGGUAAUACGUAGGGAGCAAGCGUUGUUCGGAUUUACUGGGCGUAAAGGGCGCGUAGGCGGCGCGGUAAGUCACUCGUGAAAUCUCUGAGCUUAACUCAGAACGGCCAAGUGAUACUGCUGUGCUAGAGUGCGGAAGAGGCAACCGGAAUUCUUGGUGUAGCGGUGAAAUGCGUAGAUAUCAAGAGGAACACCUGAUGCGGAGGCGGGUUGCUGGGCCGACACUGACGCUGAUGCGCGAAAGCCAGG
rnacentral:rRNA from 1 species